ensembl:lncRNA
CAGAACCUCAGAAUGUGACCUUAUUUACAGACAGGGUUCUUGCAGAUAUAAACUAGUAAAGAUGAAGUUAUUCUACAGCAGGUGGGCCCUUAAUCCAAUAUGACUGCUGGCCUCAUGAGAAGAGGAAGGGACAGAGAGAGACAGACACAGGGAAGACGACCACGUGAGGAUGAAGGCAGAGACUGGAGUUAACCUGCAGCUGCAAGCCAAGGAAAGCCGAGCAUGGCUGGCAACCCUGGAAGUUAGGAGCAAGGCCCAGGGCAGAUUCUCUCCCAGGAACCUGAGAGGACACAGCCCUGCUGACUCCUUGAUUUCGGACUUCUAGCCUCCUGAACUGCAGAAUACCUCUUAUCCUGUUCACUUUCGUUUUGACCACACAACCUCCUCUGUCCAAAAGAAUGUGAGUAUAUGUGACAUGGGCUUCCCUUGUUGCUUAGAUGGUAAAGAAUCCGCCUGCAAUGCAGUAGACCCAGGUUUGAUCCUUGGGUUGGGAAGAUCCCCUGGAGAGUGGCAACCCAUUCCAGUAUUCUUGCCUGGAGAAUGCCAUGGACAGAGGAGCCUGGCAAGCUACAGUCCAUGGGGUUGCAAAGAGUCAGACACAACUGAGCGACUAACACACCCACACACCCCCGUGACAUGGACCAUCCGAGCAUAAACUUUAAAUGCGCUCGCACGGUUUGACCCUGCAACUCUUGUUCUACCAGGACCAGGGGGAGGGUGGAGUGGGUGAAGCAGGAUCAUGCAAGUGCAGAGUCAUAUUCUGCUUUUAUUUAAAAAUUUUGAUAUUUGUUCAUCAUGGAUUUUUGUAUUAAUUUUUAAAAAUAUUGCAUUAGAAAAUUCAUUUAUCCUGAUCACUGAGUUGUUUUUUUUUUUUUAAGUCCUCUUAAAUUUUGUACACAAGGCAAGUUUCCUGCUGGUGGCCCUGCUUCCUGCCCCGAACCAUGAUGAUAGUAUGAACCCAGAGAGUAGGUACUCGUUCAGCCCUGUAUCUGGAGUGAGAAGACUGUGCAGCUGGGCUGGGCUGAACCAGGCGGAUCCCAGGGGAACCACAGUGGGGAUGCAGCACUCAUGCAAUACCAGCAAGAAAUAAGGUUUGUUUUUUAAACUAAUGAGAUUUGAAGUUUCUUUGUCAUGCAGCAUGGUCUAGUGAAACCUAAUGUAUAGCCUAUGGCUGAUCGAGUUCCACAGGACUGGAAAAAGUC